AGCUAAGCCUUUUUUCUGGGGAGGAGUUAAAGCACAACCUAUUGAGUUUGACUUGUCACUCUGUAACCCACCUCAAUGAGAGUGUCUAAUGGUAUUUUUACUGUUUCUUUUUGUGCAUAUAAUAGGAAAACUCCUUAAAUAUCUCUUCAUAUCUUUUGGCGCAUGAGAAUAUCCAGGUGUACUUAGUUUCGUGAGGUCUGACACCACCAAAGCCAGAUGACAACUGUGAAAAAAUAAAUCUAAUGGCUGUAAACUCACCUGACUAAAGAAAUAUUUUUGUAUACGACCCUCUGCUUCUGAGCACCAUACAAACACUGUGUAGCUGCCUGUGAUCUUCACCUUGCCCUCUGAAGUAGAAAACUAAAAUUAUUCCCUUGCUCUGGAGCCACUGAUGACAGAAUACUUGAAACUGCAGUGAAAAAGCUUUAGCUCCUCACAAAGACAGGAGCUACCACAUCACUGCUACUUUUCUCUACCUCAGUAAAUCUUGUGGCUUCUGCUUAGGAUACUAACAUUUUAUUAAUGAACACUAGUUUGUGUACUAGUUCUGAUGAAAAUUAAAAAUAUGGUUGUUUGCAGUUGCUGAGUCCCAAAUUAAUGACAAUGAACUCUCCAAUAGUACCACCUGACAAGAUGUGAACUGGUACAUAGAAAUAUAAAUGUUUUCAUCUCAUCAGAGGGCAAAACUGUUCUGAUAUUAUUUGAAACCUGUAAAAGAAUGAUACAGAAAUUCACCAAGAUGCUUGUCUGUGAAGUGCUGGGUGUCUUAAGAAGGGACUUUAAUUUUAAAAAAAGGGAGGAGGUUUCUGGUAGGAAGAAGAUCUAAGAUUAACUCUUGUCCUUGGUUGUCAGGAUUUCUCUAUAUAGAAGAUGACACUGAUAAGAGAGUUUAAUGUCUCUGUAAACAACAGCGUUCCUAGCAGGAAUGGCAAGUACAUACACCCUGGGAAUCUGGCUGUCUAAUGAACCAAAAAGUACCAAAAUGAAUACUAAAUUAUUUAAAUCCCCUGCUAUUUAGCACUAACACA